AUGGUGAGUGCAUCUUCUGUU
rnacentral:siRNA from 1 species